UACGUAGGGGGCUAGCGUUGUCCGGAAUCAUUGGGCGUAAAGAGCGUGUAGGCGGCCCGGUAAGUCCGCUGUGAAAGUCGGGGGCUCAACCCUCGGAUGCCGGUGGAUACUGUCGGGCUCGAGUACGGAAGAGGCGAGUGGAAUUCCUGGUGUAGCGGUGAAAUGCGCAGAUAUCAGGAGGAACACCAAUUGCGAAGGCAGCUCGCUGGGACGUUACUGACGCUGAGACGCGAAAGCGUGGGGGAGCAAACAGG
rnacentral:rRNA from 1 species